GACGAACGCUGGCGGCGUGCCUAAUACAUGCAAGUUGAGCGAUGAAGAUUGGUGCUUGCACCAAUUUGAAGAGCAGCGAACGGGUGAGUAACGCGUGGGGAAUCUGCCUUUGAGCGGGGGACAACAUUUGGAAACGAAUGCUAAUACCGCAUAACAACUUUAAACAUAAGUUUUAAGUUUGAAAGAUGCAAUUGCAUCACUCAAAGAUGAUCCCGCGUUGUAUUAGCUAGUUGGUGAGGUAAGGGCUCACCAAGGCGAUGAUACAUAGCCGACCUGAGAGGGUGAUCGGCCACAUUGGGACUGAGACACGGCCCAAACUCCUACGGGAGGCAGCAGUAGGGAAUCUUCGGCAAUGGACGAAAGUCUGACCGAGCAACGCCGUGUGAGUGAAGAAGGUUUUCGGAUCGUAAAACUCUGUUGGUAGAGAAGAACGUUGGUGAGAGUGGAAAGCUCAUCAAGUGACGGUAACUACCCAGAAAGGGACGGCUAACUACGUG
rnacentral:rRNA from 1 species